UACGAAGGGGGCUAGCGUUGCUCGGAAUCACUGGGCGUAAAGGGUGCGUAGGCGGGUCUUUUAAGUCAGGGGUGAAAUCCUGGAGCUCAACUCCAGAACUGCCUUUGAUACUGAAGAUCUUGAGUUCGGGAGAGGUGAGUGGAACUGGCGAGUGUAGAGGGUGAAAAUUCGUAGAUAUUCGCAAGAACACCAGUGGCGAAGGCGGGUCUCUGGACAGUUCCUGACGCUGAGGCACGAAGGCAGGG
rnacentral:rRNA from 1 species